UACGAAGGGGGCUAGCGUUGCUCGGAAUCACUGGGCGUAAAGCGCACGUAGGCGGGUCGUUAAGUUGGGGGUGAAAUCCUGGAGCUCAACUCCAGAACUGCCUUCGAUACUGGCGAUCUUGAGUCUGGGAGAGGUGAGUGGAACUCCGAGUGUAGAGGUGAAAUUCGUAGAUAUUCGGAAGAACACCAGUGGCGAAGGCGGCUCACUGGACCGGUACUGACGCUGAUGCGCGAAAGCGUGGGGAGCAAACGGG
rnacentral:rRNA from 1 species